AUUGAACGCUGGCGGCAUGCUUUACACAUGCAAGUCGAACGGUAACAGGGUGCUUGCACCGCUGACGAGUGGCGAACGGGUGAGUAAUGCGUCGGAACGUGCCGAGUAGUGGGGGAUAACGCAGCGAAAGUUGUGCUAAUGCCGCAUACGUACUGAGGUAGAAAGUGGGGGACCUUCGGGCCUCACGCUAUUCGAGCGGCCGACGUCUGAUUAGCUAGUAGGUGAGGUAAAGGCUCGCCUAGGCGACGAUCAGUAGCGGGUCUGAGAGGAUGAUCCGCCACACUGGGACUGAGACACGGCCCAGACUCCUACGGGAGGCAGCAGUGGGGAAUUUUGGACAAUGGGCGAAAGCCUGAUCCAGCCAUGCCGCGUGUCUGAAGAAGGCCUUCGGGUUGUAAAGGACUUUUGUCAGGGAGGAAAUCCCUAGUGCUAAUAACACUGGGGGAUGACAGUACCUGAAGAAUAAGCACCGGCUAACUACGUGCCAGCAGCCGCGGUAA
rnacentral:rRNA from 1 species